GGCUCCUGGUCAUUUUCAGACAGGGAUGGGAAUUCUCCCACUCCCGGGUCAUUUCCAGACAGGGGCCUUGCUGGCUCCGGGUCAUUUUCAGACAGGGAGUUUUGCUCCCGGGUCAUUAGAAAGGGACUGGCAUUCUACAGACCCUGGGUCAUUUGCAGCUACCUCAGAGACAGCUGUUUGAGUUUCUCCCAUAGUGGGAGAAAAGGUCAUUAAGUGUCUUGUCCCUGAAAUUUGUCAAAGUCCUUUUAUGUUAUGUUAUGGUAAUUGUUACUUUGUUUUCUUUCUCAAGGCUCCUAUGGAGCCCCAACCCACUCCCCCAAGCAGUUAGACAUGGAGAGGAGAGAGGCAAAAUCUUGGAGAGCACCCAAAAGAAACUGGGUGCAGAGAGGGUAGGAAAUACAUGCCUGUGACUUAUAAUGUCUUUGGGGCUACUACACUGGGUACAUGGUGAUCCCCUGGAGUUCCAGAAAACUGUUGUCUCUUUGUUUAUUAUGUUUAAGACUAGACUGGCGGGACUAAAAAUAAAUAAAUAAAUAAAACAAAACUUAAACAUAAAAUGCAGAUAACUUGACAGCAGCCCAUCUAGGGUCUGUAUCCCUAGCCCUGAGCCAGGUCUGAUGGCAAGAGGAUACACUGUCUGGGUGCUGAGAGCUAAGCCUUAAAGACUGUGGAAAAAUGCAAUACGGCAAAGGAUCUGAGUAGGGGCUGGGGGAGGGUUCCGAGGCCAGGGAGCAAGGACACCUGAGAUGGAGUGGAUGACAAAAUCAUCAUGCACCUGGCCUCUUCAAAAGGCAGGCGGUGGAGCUAAUGACUGCGAGAGGCCAGCUGCAGCAAAACAGGGCAGUCACCUCUCAUUUGUUCUCUCUCUGUAUCUUGAGGGUCUUUGCCUUAGGCAGGAGAGAGGGACCUACAUGCAGAUGGCAGAGAAUUGACCACUUGCAAUUAAGAAACUGCAAAUAUAAAACAAAAAAAUCUGAGAUCAUAGUCAAAAAAUUUAACAAAAACUUUUUUUAAGAAAGCAUUGACAGCCAAGGACACUCUCUGUGCCCACUGCAGCUGCCUCCUCUUUUCUUUUCUGAACCAAGUUCUUCAGUAUGAUAACACUCAAGGUAUCUUCUACUGGCCAGCAGUUUCCCGUCUUAACCCUUUCCUGUCCUGAUACUGCUGCUUAUAAGAAGUUUUCAAUUAUACCAACCUGUAACUUUAAAAAAUGUUGAUUUUAAAGUAAAUGUCAAAAAAAUACAUUAUGUUUAAAAAUGCUUUUGUUUCCACAGGGAAAAAAAAUAUAUGGAUUACAAAUACUUAAAACCUUUUAUUAAGAUACAUAUUUCUGCUUUUGUUUUAUGCAAUGUUCUGCUAAAUAAAAUCACAAAAAAGACUUUGAUAAAAAUUUACACAUUGUCUAAAAAGGUUUUUAAUAGAGGUUUUUAAAAGAUCAAAGGAUGUUUGCUAUAAUUUAUUGUACCUAACUGUUUAACGGUUAAUUCUGGUUUUAAAAAGCUUUAUUUGUCUUGUUAAAGGGUCAUGGUUAUUCCUUAAAAAAAAAUUUAUGUUUAUUUUGCUAAAAAUUAGUCUUUAAUAAUUAUAAGUUUCAUACUUGUAAUUUUUCUCUGAGCUCUGGUCAUUAGAUUUGGGUUUGCAAAAAUUUAAAUGUCUUUUUGAUAUAGAUAAUAUUAAAACUGUUUUAUGCUGUUCUUUACUGAUAUACAAGAAAGUCAGUUACCACCGGAAAUAUCUGGAAUUAGACUCCCAAAGGGGGAAAAAAAACAGCUACAAAGAAAACCACCAAUGCCAGGAAAUAGUCACCAAAAAUGUCAAUUGUAAUAAAAUAGGUUAUAAAACAGAUAUGCUUAUAAAAUGUUUCAUAUUAUUAAUAUUUAGAUUUUAGUCUCAUAGUCUUUGCUAAAAUCAUUAAAGGUUCAAUCUAACAAAAAUAUGAUAUAUAGUUCUGGACUGUUAAAAAUACAAAUUAAUAAUCAGUCAUCCUCAAAUACUGAUAUAAGUACAUGGAUAAGCUUUAUUUAGUUUUAAAGCUUAAAACAAAUAUUUUUAAUAAUAAAGUCUGUCUAAUCAGAGAUACCUGGACAGCCCUAAAUACUUCAGAGAUCUAUAGAAAAUGACAUUUAAAAUGUUUAAAAAGCUUUUAUCAGACAGAGACUCUGAGAUCCUAACAGUGACCCAAGGUCUCCAAAGAAGACUAUGAGACACCACAAUGUCUCCACCUUCAUAACGAUGACAUUGACCACUGGGCAAAAUGCCCCAUGCUACGACCUGCUGCCAGGACCCAGCCCAGACUGUGGACAAACAGUAGGACCUUGGCGAAUUGAUUGCACCACUUUUGCCUAGACAAAAUAAGGUCAGUCUUUUCCAUGUCCCUCUUCCACAGAAACCAAUCACCUUAUGGGCCUGGUAAAGCCUGCUGUUCUGAUACUGCUGCCUCCAACGCUAUGGAGACCUGGGUUUCCCCUUGGUUGGUGGACACAAACAAACAUUAAUUGCUGCCUGCAACCUGCUCCAGACGACUGUGGACCAUGGACUUGCUAAAAAUCUGUUAUGGACCAGUCUAGCAGAUAUAAAUGCUCCCUGGCUCUUCAACAAAGUCCACAAACCAAAUGUUCCUAAGAUUUUCUCUUUUUGACUAGCAUUUCACCUUUGUUAACCCUUGACAACGACGCCCCAAAGUCAGCUGGAAGCAGUUAAAAGAAUACAUCGUCCAAUAACCCCUGUUUAAAAUGCUAAGUCAAAA